rnacentral:rRNA from 1 species
UACGUAGGGUGCGAGCGUUGUCCGGAAUUAUUGGGCGUAAAGAGCUUGUAGGCGGUUUGUCGCGUCUGCUGUGAAAAUCCGAGGCUCAACCUCGGACUUGCAGUGGGUACGGGCAGACUAGAGUGUGGUAGGGGAGACUGGAAUUCCUGGUGUAGCGGUGGAAUGCGCAGAUAUCAGGAGGAACACCGAUGGCGAAGGCAGGUCUCUGGGCAUUAACUGACGCUGGAGGAGCGGAAAAGCAUGGGGAGCGAACAGG